CUCAAAUCCACGGCCCUACCACCUACUUCCAGUUUCUUACUACACCAUUGCAAACCCGAGAACCCUAGAGUCACCAAAGACUCAAAUCCACGGCUAAAACCUCCCACAUCUACGAGACUACACUGUCGCUCAACGCUUCAGGUUUAAAACAAUUCAAUUUCUUGUCAGUCUUUUUAACUUUGCUUUUGGAUUUACAAUUAAUUACUUCCAAAAUCAAGCAAGCUAGCAGCCUUUCACCUCCACAACCAGCCUCUGAGGCCUCUAAUUAGUGAAAUCAGAUACGCAAAAGAAAAUGAAGAUAUGAUAGCACAACUGAAGGGUUGCAAGCCAAGGGCAGACCAACAUCUCCAAAGGAUGUUUUCAAGUAAAAUUCAUAUAAUCGUAAGAAACAAAGUAUUACCACAAGGGAGGGGCAAAACCAUUUCAUCCAACAUGCAAGGAAGGCUCACAAGGAUAAGAUGAAGAAAAAGAAGGAUGGAGUUACAGGAGAAAUUAUUCAAGAAGCACCUGAGGUAGUGAUAGUGAUCUUUCAAAUGACAAUGAUACUUGUGCUGAACUAAAGACCAUGAUAUGGUUGAUGACUUAUAUUAUGAAUUUUGUUGUUAGUUUCAACAAUGCACACGGUAUACCUGUUUUGUUACCAACUCAAUGCCUUUAGAAUGUUGUUAGCAUCUCAAUAUGUUUAGAGCUAUUAGGAUGCUUAUGUUAGCUUUUGGGAUAUACACUUGGUGUAUGUAUUGGAUGUAACCUAAUUUAUUGAUCAAUGAAAUGUGAUUAACCAAGGUAUUGCCUCAUAUUUGUUAUGAAUUCUAAUUCUAGAUGACGAAGCAGGGAAUAUGUGCUAAUUAGUUCAUCACGAAGGCUACUUUCUGCAACAACAACAACUACAAGAUCUUGGGAAGAAAAUACUUGUUCAUGAACAAGAGUAAUAGUAGUUUCAAGUAUACAAGAGCAUCUAAGAAGCUAGAUAGAUUGUGGCUACAUUCUUCGACAACAACUACUAAAUCGGUGAUCUUGGGCAAAAAUACUUGUCAUGAGCAAAAGUAGUAGUUUAAAGUAUAUAAGAGCGGCUAAGAAGCUAGCUAGAUAGGAAGUGCCUACGGAUGAUGAGAUGGAGAUGAAGGGGUACUACUCCUCCCUCUCACAAGAAGGUUGCCAGAUGCAGCUGCUUGAUGAUUCAUAUUCAUAGUGUUCUAGCCAAAACCAAAUUCUUCCGAAGUAUUGCCAAAUUCUUAGAAGAUAGACUAUGAACGAAGAAGCUAGCUAUAUUAUACAUAAUACUAAAGCAGAUUCUUCGUUCAUAGUUGAAGUACCGAACGGUUGCGGAAUGGGGAGUUUACUAGGAAAAGGCGAAAAUGCCCUCGAUUAACUAACCAAUUCCACAAUUUUCUACAGUGGAAAGUCUGUUGUGCCCUUUCCCCAAUCAACUCGUCUCUCAUUGGCUCUUUCUUCGUGUUGGUGGUCGGUGCCUGCAAUCGGAUUCUACCAAUUAGCCCGGUGACCCCGGAGGUUACCGUCGGUACUUCAAAUACGUGGUGCCCAACGACGUCAUAUCCAUGAAGUUCUAUCAUCGGAACGCUAUCCGAAAGGCGAAAAGAUAGCCCCUUCAGCUCCUGUGGUGCUGCUGAGCCCCUUACUCUCCGUCAUCCGCCACCUUGGCGCCAAAAUCACUGCAAAAUAAAAAAUAAAAAACGAGAGCCUGCAAAACCCUAGUCCGUACAUCUCUCUCCUCAAUCACCUCCACCCUCCGAACCAAUCGACUCACCGUCUCUCUCCUCCUCUCCCCCUCUCUCCGCUUCGUCCCA